CCUAACCACCCAGAACUGGUGUCAUAGUGUCACAGACAAUCUAAGAUUUACUAUAUAUAAAUUCUGAAAAAUAAAUGAUAUAUUGUUUCUGAAUUAAGGAAAUGAAACAGGGAUAAAGGGAUAGAGAGAGAUGCCAGGGCCUGCGGAUGCCUGCAUGUAUACCUUGGAUCUCCGUGUGGACUGAAGGUAGCAACCUAAUCUAUGGUCCAGAAGCUACUCCAGAAUCUGCACAAAGUCCAGAGUGUAGUAUCAGCACAAUCGACCCCAUGUGCUAGUAAGUGCCUAGCCUAACCUCGGCGAAGUAGUGACAAGGCGAGGACCAAAAUACCACAUAAAACUGUGCAACUCAACUAUAUACAGUGGAAAAGAAUAACAGGAAUAACAGUCAAGUAUGGGAGGGGGUAACAUGAUGCGGGGACAUCGAAUAAUAGCAGAAGAACAACAAAUAAAUAUGAGGAUCACCACAGUUCAAUUGAAAAUAGGAAGGGGGGAUCAUGCUGCGGGGUACAACAAGUGUCAACAGGAAAUCAACAAUUAAAUAUAGAGAAACCGUAACUCAGUUAUCAAUAAAAAUUAGGAAAUCGAAAACAAGUGCACGGAAUCACCCUUCGUGCUUUAACACUCUCUCACCAAAAUAAUACACAACAUCACCCUUCGUGCUUUACACUCUUCCUCACCCAAGCAACAAUCACAAGGCAAAUAGGGUAAGGGAAUCUAUAACAUCAAAAUAAAAUCAAGUAACAACAGAAAAUUAGUAAACAAACGUAAAGGACAACAUAACUCGAUUAUCAGCAAGAAUCAGGAAAAUCAAGGACAAGUGCACAACAUCACCCUUCGUGCUUUUACUCUCGUCCUCACCAUAAGAAUCAAUAUAAACUGCACGGCAUCACCCUUCGUACUUUUACUCUCAUUCUCACCAUAAAAUCAAUAUAAUACGCAUGGAAUGGUACAUCGUGCGGCACGACAUCACCCUUCGUGCUUUACACUCUUUCCUUACAAAUCAUAUACGGCAUCACCCUUCGUGCUUUAAUACCCUUCCUCACCCAAACAACAAUCACAAACAAUAGGGCAAGAGAAUAAAUGAAACUAUAAUAAGAAUCCUGGCAAGGGAACAAUAGUUCAACAAUCAAGUCCCGACAAGGGAACAACAUCGUAAGAAGCAUCAACAUCCCGACAAGGGAGAUAACAUUAAAAGCAACAAAUUCCUGGCAAAGGAGAUAAUACAAUGUUUCUCUUCUCUUUUUCACUUUUAGUUCCCAACUCACUUCACAACUUUGAGCCAAUGCUCUAAAAGGUUCUAUUUCCACUUAUACUUUCACAUUUCAUUGUACAACUUGAGACAACACUCCUCAAUGUUCAAAUAUCAUAAUUACUUCCACAAACUUUGCCCAAUAAUAGAAAUCAUCAUCAAAGCAUGAAUAAUACAACGAAGCCAUAAUAAUCACAAUGUAAGACUCACAGGGAUGCUUGACACUAAUGUAUAGAUACUCGUCACCAGGCCUAUACAUCGUACUCGACAAACACCACAUAGCAAAUAGGACUCGACUCUUAAUCCUUCAAGAUAAGGUUAGACCAAACACUUACCUCGAUGCCACGAACACAAUUCAAGUCUCUACUAUCGCUUUACCUCUUGAUUCCACCACCAAUUUGCUCGUAUCUAGCCACAAGUUACUUAAUUACAUCAAUAAAUUCUAAAUGAAUCAAUUCUAAUGCAUGAAAAUAAGUUUUCCAAAAUUUUACCCAAAAAGUCAAAAAUUGCCUCGGGGCCACAUGGUCAAAACCCGAGGUUCGAACCAAAACCCGAUUACCCAUUUCCCCACGAGCCCAAAUAUAUAAUUUGUUUUGAAAUCGGACCCCAAAUGGAGGUCAAAAUCCCCAAUUUUUGAAAAACCUAGGUUCUACCCAAAAACACCCAAUUCCNNNNNNNNNNNNNNNNNNNNNNNNNAUACAAUUGAUUUGGAAGAAGUGUUGCUCUUGAAAAAUCGCCCUAGGGAGUUUGUGUUUUGAAAAGAUGUGAAAAAUGAUUGAUUUUCGGCUAAGUAUAAAAGUUGCAGGUCGCGGAUGUGGGAAUUGCGAACAGGGGUUCGUAAUUGUGAACCCCGACCUCUGCUAAGUUGGGAAAUGCGAAGGGGCUCUCGCAAUUGCGAGAUGGGAAAUGCGAACCAAAUAUCGCAUUUGCGAUAACAGGCCCAAGAGGACAUAUCGCAUUUGCGAAGGGUGUCUCGCAUUUGCGAAAUGGAGCUGGCCUGGGCUUCUUUCGCAAUUGCGACAAGACCCUAGCACUUGCGAUAUCGGAUUUGCAAUCCAGGAUUCGCAAAUGCGAAGCUUGCAUGCCUGCUAUGCACAACUGAAAACUACAAUUUCCUCAAGUCUAAAAUCCACCCCGUGGCCUAUCCAAAACUCACCUGAUCCCUUGGGGCUCCAGACCAAACAUGUACACCAAUCCCAAAAUAUCAUACGGACUCGUUCGUGCAUUCAAAUCACUAAAAUAACAUCAAUAACUAUUAAUUUAGCAUCAAAAUCAUGAAAUUUCCUUAUGAACUUCAAUUUCCAAUUUUUCUCAAAAAUGAUCUGAUUCACGUCGUUUCAAGUCCGUUUCUUACCAAACCUCACAGACUUAUCUUAAUUCACAUAUAACACCUAUACUGGGCGCCAGAACCAAAAUACGGGCCUGAUACCAUCAAGUUCUAAUCACAAUUCCUUUCCAAAUCGCAUAAUUAAUUUCAUAAAACAAUUUCUUUCGAAAAUUCAUUUCCCGGGCUUGGGACCUCGGAAUUUGAUUUCGGGCAUACGCCCAAGUCCCAUAUUUUCCUACGGACCCUUCGGGACCGUCAAAUCACGGAUCUGGGUCCUUUUACCCAAAAUGUUGACCGAAGUCAACUUAAUUUAUUUUAUAGUCCAAAUUUAUUAUUUUUCACAUAUUUCUAUAAAAUGGCUUUCCGGCUACGCGCACGGACUAUGAACGCAAAUUAAGGUAAGACUAAAAAAGGGUUUUAAAGCCUCGGAACGUAGAAUUCAUUUUAAAAACAAGUGAUGACCUUUUGGGUUAUCACAUUUAGCCCUUAUGUAUUUAUUUUGAUUUGGACAUUCUGGAGUUAGAUCACAAUAUAGUAUCCAUAGCUUGUGAUUUCAUGAGAUUCCGGAUUUUGGAAGUUGUCUAGUUUGAGAGUUUAUAUUUGUAUAUGCCGAGCGGCAUUUUAAACUUUCAUUAUGUUUAUUUCUGCAGUUUUUAUUAGUUUUAUCUGUUGUUCCCUUUUUCCACAAAUUGUUAGGCUUACCUAAUCGAAAAGACUAGGUGCCAUCACAACAGUUCAUGGAGGGAGAACUGGGGCCGUGACAAUUCAUUAUCGCCACUUGGCAUAAUUAUUGGUGUCCCAAGUAACCAAUUUAUUUUAAAUCCCAAACCGAGGAAAAUUGACUCUAUUUUUUGAUCCGCGAACACAGAAAACCGGGUAAGGAAUUCUGGUAACCCGGGAGAAGGCGUUAGGCAUUGGUUUUAGCACGGUCGCUCAACUAUUAAUAAUUGGCCUAAUUAUCUGCUUAAUUGCGUGUUUUAAAUCUAUUGUGCAUUUUUAACUUUAGUGCCGCUUUUAUUUAUUUAUGGAUUUAUUUCUGGAACAAGUCAUGAUUGUCGUACACUUGUCGUUUUGGUACAUAUUACAAGCCGCAUCACAUGAAAUGCACCCGCGAUUUACAACAUGUUCAUUUUUUAUUAUUGUUUGAAGUUAUGGUCAAGUCACAUAAAACGCACUCCCGAAUUGGGGAUUGCGUAUCAUGACUAUGGCACGGGAACCGUACCCAUAGUCACGAUAAUUUUAUUAAUCGCGCCUAAAGCAAGCUACGAUGUUCAUGAGUUAUUUUCCUUCUUUGAGGUUACUAUAAAGUCAUAAGGUAUGGAUAUUAUUGUGGAGGAAAUAAAGUGAAUUAAUUAUGAAUGAGUAGACUAGCUUCGUGUGUUUGAAAAAAAUUGGAUCGGCACAUGAAUAAAUAGGAACGUUGUUGUUUCUCUUCUUUUUUUAUUGGCUUUUGGCAGAUAUAUAUCUAAUUUGGCCUAAACUCGCAAACUAAAUUGCACAUCCAAUCCAGUUUCUGAUUUUUACAAGACAAACCAAAUGGCCAAAUUGGCAUAACUAAUGAACAAAGGUUCCAAGGAAAAAUAAUGAUUCACUACUUCUUAUUUUUUUUAGCUAUCAAACAAGAACUAAAAGAUUUUUAGAGUUAUAUCUAAUGCUCAUGAAAUUAGAAUUGAAAUAGGAGAUUCAGACAACAAUAUACCAACUAAAACGAUUCUGGCAAACCUAGUGUAAAUCAAACCGAUGCACAAUUUAAACAGAUAUUUCAUGAAGAAAUGAAAUUAAUUACUGCAAAUCAAGUCACUAUUAUUAUCAUUGUAAAAUAAACAAACAAAUAUUCCGGAGAUGGGUUGUUUAUGCAAGUGAUUAACAAUGGAAUUUUUAAUUGUACAUAGAUAACAUCACAGAAUGAACAAGGGAUGGAGGCAGCUUUAUUGAUCUAAUAUGCUGAAUUUCAGAUGAUUAAACGCACACGUAGUGUGAAAGAUCAAAUAUAAGGUUGUAUAGAAAUGUACAGAUGGACAUGAACAUACCUAAAUGCCAAAAAAACUAGAGUUUAGCAGCCUUUUGAAACAACCAAAUCAACAACAACAAGCAUGAAUUUGAGCUUUGACGGCUUGUGCAAACCCAGAAAAGAGGAAGUUGAUUUUUUGAAACUUCAGUAAUUAAUACCCUUUUUAAUGUUCUUUGAAAUUCAGUUUUCAAAAACCAGAAAAAUAGUAUUGAAGACCUCUUGAAUCAACCACUACGACUGAUUAUUUUGAGUAAAAAAAAGGUCAGCUGAAACUUUACUCUUUUUUUGUGUUUUUCCCCUCAAUUUGAAGCUGAAAAUUACAGAUCUAAUAAGGAAAUUUUUGAAUUUCAAAUUUGUUUUCAGAUGCAUUUAGGUGUGUAGCCCAAUGUAUGAGUAUGGGUGAGAAGAUAAGAAAUAAGAAGGGGAUAGGAGAGGGGUGCAACGACUAGGGUUAGUUUGAGGGAGGGGAUCUAAUUUUCUCUUUUUUGAGAUGGUGAUGGUGCCCGUUGUUAGAUUUUUUUA
rnacentral:lncRNA from 1 species